rnacentral:misc_RNA from 1 species
AAGUCGUAACAAGGUUUCCGUAGGUGAACCUGCGGAAGGAUCAUUAACGAAAUUAUGACUGGGGUUGUCGCUGGCCUAUAAAACGGCAUGUGCACGCCCCUUUCACAAAUCCACACACACCUGUGCACCUUCGCGGGGGUCUUCUUUUUCGGAAGGCUCGCGUCCCUUUACACACCCUUUGUAUGUCUUAAGAAUGUCUACUCGAUGUAAUAAAACGCAUCUAAUACAACUUUCAACAACGGAUCUCUUGGCUCUC